CAGUAGCCGCGGGAAUACGAAGGGGGCUAGCGUUGCUCGGAAUUACUGGGCAUAAAGGGAGCGUAGGCGGAUCGUUUAGUCAGGGGUGAAAUCCCGGGGCUCAACCUCGGAACUGCCUUUGAUACUGGCGAUCUUGAGUAUGGGAGAGGUGUGUGGAACUCCGAGUGUAGAGGUGAAAUUCGUAGAUAUUCGGAAGAACACCAGUGGCGAAGGCGACACACUGGCCCAUUACUGACGCUGAGGCUCGAAAGCGUGGGGAGCAAACAGGAUUAGAUACCCCUGUAGUCCCUGUCUCUUAUAC
rnacentral:rRNA from 1 species